rnacentral:rRNA from 1 species
GUCUGCGGCCAUACCACCCUGAAUGUGCCUGAUCUCGUCUGAUCUUGGAAGCUAAGCAGGGUCGGGCCUGGUUAGUACUUGGAUGGGAGACAAAAGUCAGAAAGAUACUUACAACCAUAGACU